rnacentral:rRNA from 1 species
AAAGUUAGAGGUUCGAAGGCGAUCAGAUACCGCCCUAGUUCUAACCAUAAACGAUGCCAGCCAGCGAUCCGGCUGUGUUCCUCAAAUGACACGCCGGGCAGCUUCCGGGAAACCAAAGCUUUUGGGUUCCGGGGGAAGUAUGGUUGCAAAGCUGAAACUUAAAGGAAUUGACGGAAGGGCACCACCAGAAAUGGGGCCUGCGGCUUAAUUUGACUCAACACGGGACAACGUACCCGGCCCGGACACAGGAAGGAUUGACAGAUUGAGAGCUCUUUCUUGAUUCUGUGGAUUGUGGUGCAUGGCCGUUCUUAGUUGGUGGAGCGAUUUGUCUGGUUAAUUCCGAUAACGAACGAGACUCUAGCCUACUAAAUAGACGUUCCGAUCCUCUGCGUCGGACGUUCUUCUUAGAGGGACAAGCGGCGUUUAGCCGCACGAGACAGAGCACUAACAGGUCUGUGAUGCCCAUAGAUGUCCGGGGCCGCACGCGCGCCACAUUGAAGGAAUCAGCGUGUGCUUCCCCUGUCCGACAGGACUGGGUAACCCGUUGAACCUCCUUCGUGCUGGGGAUAGGAAUUUGUAAUUAUCUUCCUUGAACGAGGAAUUCCCAGUAAGCACGAGUCAUAAGCUCGUGUUGACUACGUCCCUGCCCUUUGUGCACACCGCCCGUCGCUACUACCGAUUGAAUGAUUUAGUGAGGUCUUCGGACUGGCGCCCGGAGCGGAUUUCCCGAUUCGCGCCGGAGUGCCGGAAAGAAGACCAAACUUGAUCAUU